CAGACCCAUUGUCUACUGGAAGCAGAACUCAGUUGAAAUUCAGGAUGAGCCUGAGGAAGACGACUAUCACUCCACUGUACGCGGCAUAAUCUCACUAUUUCACGCACAUUAGGCCUCACAGCAAUGCAGGAGAGCCAAUGAUUAUUUUACACUGCAGGAAUCACACUAAGACAGGAUCAGACAAGAGGCGUAUCUCUCCUGGAGGAGGAGCAGUCCGGGGGCACCUGAUGCAGAGGUGGGAGAGAUGGCUGCAGAUCUACACUACGGAGCUCUGAUGAGCUUAAUCCCACUCUACCCACAGCAGGAAGAGGCCCAAACGUGUCCGGCCAGUUCGCACUGUGUCAUCGCUACGUGCCAGACACCCUUAUCAGCCGCCCUGGAAACUUGGAGUCACGUGACCCGCUAGGUGUGGCCGGAGAAAGUGCGGCCCCGUUAUCAGCGAGGCCUGGGCCGUGCUGAUAGGAGACUGUAUAAGGAAGUAAGGCAACGGGACACUGCCAUAAACAAGCUCACACCGACGUCUGAGGACGGGCGUACGUGUGUGUGUUUGAGCGCAUGUUAGCGUGUGUGAAGCAGAGAGAGAGAGGGUGCAUGUAUGUGCCUUUAUGUGCUUGUGUGCUCUUAGUGUGUGUGUGUGUGACAGAGAGAAAAUAACCUGUUGGUGUGGAUGUCACUGUGAGCAACAGUGGAUAUGUGUGUGUGUGUGUGUGUGUUAGUGAAUCUGUGUGCGGCAGAGAAAUAUAAUCUGUGUGUGUCUGUAUCCCUUGCUGUACAAUCGUGCUGUCUGGACUGCCAGUCUGUCUUUCUGUCGGUCUGUAUGCAUGUAUUUAUAGUAUACCUUGUGUGUGUGCCUGUCUAGUGGGGUUUUUUCUAUCCCAGCAUGCAGCGUUCCAGCCUCCUGAGCUGUAAACUCCACUGCACGCUCCAGGACUGUUAUUAGCUGCUUCAUCAGAUGCCUUCCAUCCAUAGAUUCCUGUCUGGCUUCCAAAACCCAUGAUUUCUACUUUUUUUUACCACAUUAACCCACGUUACUCUCUCAUCAUCACCCCCCACCCCUCCUCCUCCUCCCUACCUCCUCCACUAUUCCCACCUCUGCUUCUAGAUCAUCCACAGAGCUUCCAUUUUAUUCCUCUUCCUCUUCUUUUAUGGGUCGUCUCAAACUGCCCUCUCUUGUUCUUCUUUUUCUUUGUCUGUUCUGCACGGGACUGCCAUCUUUUCUUCCUCUGGUCAGUCCCUCCCUGUCGUAGACCCCUUUUCACUCUUCCUCCGAGUUCUAUCCUUUGUCCUUCCAUCUCUUCCAGUUGCUCCCACAGAUGCUGCCUUUUAUUUCCUGUCAGGUCUCACAUUCCCCUGGAACUCUGGCUCAGCCUGAAUACUUCCGGUCUCUGUGGUCAGCCAAAAUCAGGCUUAAACUUCAUUCAUUUUCACCCCUUCUCUUCCCUUAAGCAGUAGGAUCAGCCACCUAACUCCUGUUCCUUCAAUAUGAGUUGCUUGUGAACCCUGCAAAGCUAAAAAUGCAACUAACUGACUAAGUAAAAUCAAUAAAAAAAAUAAUGUACAGUUAAGAUGACCCAGAAUUUAAUCAACAUCUGUCCUUAGCUUUGAUUGGCAAAUGGAUAAAGUCUUUGCUUUUUUAAAUUCAAACUCAAUUUUGGCCCUAAUUUUCUUAUGGGAGAACUAAAAAAUAAAAAAAUUAACUAGCAAUUAAUAGGGAGGCAAUGCUAAGCACAAUUUUUCGUAGUUAGUCAUAUAGCAGUUACCUCAAACCAUCUAUCCAGUUAACAUUUUGAAGGACGUUAACCCGUAAAUAUAAUCACACACAGAAACCAUCGGACCCACAACCAAUGAAGUCACAGGGGUUUACAGUUAAGAUAUUUUUUUUCAGAGAUCUUGGGAAAAGCAAGCCCACAAGGAGGCAUAUGUUCGCAGCACACUGAAACAGUUUCACAACCUGCAAGGAGCCGUAUGAGUCACCUCUAGGUUUCUAAUCACAGUGUUAGGCACAGGGUAUAAAGUCACCCCAGCAGGCAAGCCUCCAUGCCCUUAAGUGGGGUUUGCUUUGAGUAAGAGCGUGGGCAGACUCCAUGAGAAGUGCGUUUUGUAUAAUCAUGCUUUCAAUGAAAGGAAAGCUGAUAAAUACCACGCCCCCCCCCCCCCCCCCACAUCAUCCUCACCCCAAAUGUUAAACACACCCCCUGUCUAGCUCCAAAGUACCAGCCCUGAAGAGCGAGAUGUUUGUGGAGCAGUAAGCCAUGUGCUUCAGGAAAGCCAGAGACCGCUGAACCUUGCAGCCCCUCAGAGUCACGGUGGGGAAAGGUUUUAUGCAUCAGAAACCAGCAGGUUUCCCAACUAGUUCCUUAUUAUGGAAAAAAGUUCAGAAAGAAUGAUGCUAUGGGUCACUCAAACACACACACACACGCGGAGCAAACCAGUGCGUGUUACAGUAGUCCCUGAUGACGUGUGAGCUUGUAUGCUACCUCUCAGUUCACAUAGCUGAUUUUCUAAGGACUUUCCAGUAUGAUUCUACAUGGGGCCUGCCCGACCGUGUAUCCCCCUCCCUGCUCUGAGGUCCCAGUAACCACACCGUACAUUUUCUAUGGCUUGUCGUGUCAUCUCACUCUCAGUAGACACAUCUCUCAGUGUGUGCCACCCGAAGAGUGGCACGGUACUGCCCAGUCAGUCUGGGGCGUGGCUGGCGGGAGCUCGAGGACUUGGUUCUGAAUGUCGGACCUUGUGAGAAAGCAGCUGGACUCCAGGCCCACCGAGCAGGGCGCUGCCCUCUCUGUGUCAGAGCAUGCCCAAGCUGCAACCAAUCGCACCCGUUCACCUACACAGUCGCUCUUUCAUUGGCUGGACAAAAUCAGAUUCAGCCACGGUCAGCCACUGUCAGCCACUGUUUACCAGCAUUAACUUUAAGACCUUCUGCCGACCACUUUUUCGCUCAAAGACAGAACAAAUCUCCUGCCAUGCCGCUGCGAAAUUACCCUUCUGACCCCUCGACCCCACAGCCAGAUAUUGGGGGGUGACCCAUCUAUCCACAGCUGGGGCCCCCCUCCACAAACACACACACACACACACACACACACUCCAACUGUGAACACAGAAAAUCUGUUCCCUCAGCUCCUUUUUUUAACCACUUGCUUGGAGGGUUUGUGUCCAGCUUCAACUCAGACUGAGAGCUUCUGUUCCACAGCACGAAUGCGUGGGGUAUUCAGCGGCAGCCACGGGGUGAGCGGUCUCGUCGAUUUCUGCCCCAAGCCAGCGCAGAUUAACCCCGUUUCUGAAGGAGGAACGGGGCCAGUUUUGGAAAAAGGCCUCGGAGGUUUCGCUCCCUCUGCAGUUUCCACGGCCGGGCUCGAGGCGUGCGCUCCUCGGGGAGCAGCCGAGAGGCGCAGGGCUUUUGGGGCGAGCUCUUUUUUCGGUCGCGCGAAGCAGCGCUUCCCGGAAGAGCGGCGCAGGUUCGCCCCAUCUCUCUACCCGCCAGCGCGAGGAGUUUCUGCAAGACCGGGACUGUGUGGGA